AUACGUAGGGGGCAAGCGUUAUCCGGAUUUACUGGGUGUAAAGGGAGCGUAGACGGCGAAGCAAGUCUGAAGUGAAAACCCAGGGCUCAACCCUGGGACUGCUUUGGAAACUGUUUUGCUAGAGUGUCGGAGAGGUAAGUGGAAUUCCUAGUGUAGCGGUGAAAUGCGUAGAUAUUAGGAGGAACACCAGUGGCGAAGGCGGCUUACUGGACGAUAACUGACGUUGAGGCUCGAAAGCGUGGGGAGCAAACAGGAUUAGAUCCCCUGGUAGUCCACGCCGUAAACGAUGAAUGCUAGGUGUUGGGGGGCAAAGCCCUUCGGUGCCGCCGCAAACGCAGUAAGCAUUCCACCUGGGGAGUACGUUCGCAAGAAUGAAACUCAAAUGAAUUGACGGGG
rnacentral:rRNA from 1 species